CCGGAGUCGGUCCCUGAGUAGGGCCGGGCACGUGAAACCCGGUCCGAACCCGGGGGGACCACCCUCCAAGCCUGAAUACUCCCAUGUGACCGAUAGCGCACCAGUACCGUGAGGGAAAGGUGAAAAGCACCCCGGGAGGGGAGUGAAACAGUACCUGAAACCGUGCGCCCGCAAGGCGUCGGAGCACCCAUGCGGUGUGACGGCGUGCCUUUUGUAG
rnacentral:rRNA from 1 species